rnacentral:piRNA from 1 species
UGAUGACCACGAAUAUUAUCA